GCUAAACGCGAAGAACCUUACCAGGCCUUGACAUCCUGAGAACCCUCCCGAAAAGGAGGGGUGCCCUUCGGGGAACUCAGUGACAGGUGCUGCAUGGCCGUCGUCAGCUCGUGUCGUGAGAUGUUCGGUUAAGUCCGGCAACGAGCGCAACCCUCGCCAUUAGUUGCCAGCAUUUCGGAUGGGCACUCUAGUGGGACUGCCUAUGAAAGUAGGAGGAAGGCGGGGAUGACGUCUAGUCAGCAUGGUCCUUACGGCCUGGGCGACACACGUGCUACAAUGGCCGGUACAACGCGCUGCCACCUCGCGAGAGGGAGCUAAUCGUUAAAGCCGGUCCCAGUUCGGAUUGCAGUCUGCAACUCGACUGCAUGAAGUUGGAAUCGCUAGUAAUCGCGGAUCAGCCAUGCCGCGGUGAAUACGUUCCCGGGUCUUGUACACACCG
rnacentral:rRNA from 1 species